AGGAGAGCACUGAAACGACCUUAACUGUCGCUCGAGGAAGGAAGAACAGCAUGCGCACAGGGACACUGCAGGGGGCCGUGGCUCGAGGAGAGAAAUGGACGAACGGGGACCGCGCGCCAGACGGUUGAAGAUUGGAUUGCGCAGCAAGAGGAGACGGACCGGAACAGGGAGGAGAGAGGACGGGUGUGCCGAGGUGACGGGGAAAGUGACAAGACGGACGGAGCGGAGAGCCCCGAGAAUAUAUAGAGAGAGGUCGCUGAGUAAAUACUGUAAAGGAUGACAGGCCGGGACAUUGGGACUGGGUAUGUGAAUAUUCUUUGUUGGAGAGUCCUGAAAGAAAAGGAGAAACAGAAAAAGACACGUCUGAAUCAUUAAUUCAUCAGUUGUUAGUUAAAAAACCCCAUCUUGCAGCAGAGAAGGUGCAUGUAGUCAGUGGAAACCAAAAUACAAACAGAAGUCAGAGAUGAAGAACAGUGUACUGAGGUGAGCUGCCUCGAAGAAACAAUGACUGAAAGUGUAAUUCAGCUUUACAUUCCAAAGACCCAACUCAUCUACCCAUGAACUUGUGCUGAAAGUCUGGUUGCCACCUUUUAUGGAGCAAACGCUACUAGCCUUCCGACAGUAUAUCAGUUAUACUUCUGCCUGAUUUAUAGCACUGACAUCAGUUACCACUGUUACCAGCAAGUCGCCAACUUUACCAGUGUUGCUGAUUACUACUGUUACCAGCAAGUCGCCAACCAUACCGUCGGAGCUCACUGUGAUAGAGACGGGACGGAUCUAGCACCGCAGAAGAGGAGGAUCCAGCUGGGCACCUGGAGUCAGACGCAGAGCAAAGGGCAGAAAAAGUGUGCCGCGUACCGUUAGAUGCUGGUCAGUUGUGG